rnacentral:tRNA from 1 species
GGGGAUUUAGCUCAGUUGUAGAGCACUUGCCUAGCAAGCAAAAAACCCUGGGUUCGGUCCCCAGCUCCG